rnacentral:rRNA from 1 species
UUCAAUCUUUGACCUCAAAUCAGGUAGGACUACCCG